rnacentral:rRNA from 1 species
AUGGAAUUAAGAUUUCCCAGGUUUAGCCAAGGCUUAGCUCAGGACCCCACUACUCGUCGUAUUUGGUUUGGUAUUGCUACCGCACAUGAUUUCGAAAGUCAUGAUGAUAUUACUGAAGAACGUCUUUAUCAGAACAUUUUUGCUUCUCACUUUGGGAAAUUAGCAAUAAUCUUUCUAUGGACGUCUGGAAAUCUGUUUCAUGUAGCUUGGCAAGGAAAUUUUGAAUCAUGGAUACAUGAUCCUUUACGCGUAAGACCUAUUGCUCAUGCGAUUUGGGAUCCUCAUUUUGGUCAACCCGCUGUGGAAGCCUUUACUCGAGGAGGUGCUGCUGGUCCGUGUGAAUAUUGCUUAUUCUGGAUUUUAUCAGUGGUGGUAUACAAUAGGAUUACGCACCAAUGA